UACGUAGGGUGCAAGCGUUGUCCGGAAUUACUGGGCGUAAAGAGCUCGUAGGUGGUUUGUCGCGUUGUCCGUGAAAACUCACAGCUUAACCUGUGGGCGUGCGGGCGAUAACGGGCAGACUAGAGUACUGCAGGGGAGACUGGGAAUUCCUGGUGUAGCGGUGAAAUGCGCAGAUAUCAGGAGGAACACCGAUGGCGAAGGCAGGUCUCUGGGCAUUAACUGACGCUGAGGAGCGAAAGCAUGGGGGAGCGAACAGG
rnacentral:rRNA from 1 species